GGGUCCGGACACACUGAGGAUUGACAGGCGCUUGUAGUUAUGAGAUUAUUAAUUUAUUAAUAAUUAAAUUUCUGCUAUAAAUAUGCUAGUCCUUUCAUGAUUGUGUGAUAGGUGGUGCAUGGCCGUUCUUAGUUCGUGGAGUGAUCUGUCUGCUUAAUUGCGUUUCACUGUGGACAUUGUUAUAAUAGUGUGUGCACGCAUAACUUCGAUUAUGUUGUUGCCUACUGUUCCAAAUGUCCUGAAGGCAACGAACGUGACCGCAACCUCUUGUUGCCUCUUCCAAAUACUUAUUUUAUUAUCUUUUUUGAUAAUUGAGAUCGGUUUAUAGAGGCUAACUAGAGGGACCGCUGACAACUUUUAAAACAGAGGAAGGUUGCGGCAAUAACAGGUCUGUGAUGCCCUUAGAUGUUCCGGGCUGCACACGUGCUACAAUGAUUAUUGCACUGAGCAUCUAAUUUUAUUAAAAGUUCGUUUGGUUUAAUUUGAUCUUAACAGAUUAAAUAAAACUAACGACAUUUCCUACUUCGAAAGUAAGUAGGU
rnacentral:rRNA from 1 species